rnacentral:rRNA from 1 species
AGCGAACGCUGGCGGCAGGCCUAACACAUGCAAGUCGAGCGCCGUAGCAAUACGGAGCGGCAGACGGGAGAGUAACACGUGGGAACGUACCCUUUGGUUCGGAACAACCCAGGGAAACUUGGGCUAAUACCGGAUAAGCCCUUACGGGGAAAGAUUCAUCGCCGAAGGAUCGGCCCGCGUCUGAUUAGCUAGUUGGUGGGGUAAUGGCCCACCAAGGCGACGAUCAGUAGCUGGUCUGAGAGGAUGAUCAGCCUCACUGGGACUGAGACACGGCCCAGACUCCUACGGGAGGCAGCAGUGGGGAAUAUUGGACAAUGGGCGCAAGCCUGAUCCAGCCAUGCCGCGUGGGUGAUGAAGGCCCUAGGGUUGUAAAGCCCUUUCGGCGGGGAAGAUAAUGACGGUACCCGCAGAAGAAGCCCCGGCUAACUUCAUGCCAGCCGCCGCAGUAAUAC